AUAGAGUUGCGCAGCGGAAGCGUGGUGGGCCCAUAACCCACAGGUCCUUGGAUCGUAACCAGGCUCUGAUA
rnacentral:tRNA from 1 species